CUUAUCAUCUUCAGCUCCUGAGCAGCUUUGAGGAUGAUCUCAUGCUGCCUUUGAGAAAGUGCAAGAACAGUUUUGGUUCCACCUGGUGACAUCUGAUCAAGUGGAGCUUCUGGAACACCGCUCUGUGGUGCUAUGGGAUGUUCUGGGUUCCGAUCAUAAAGAGGUCGAGUUUCUUCAGUGGGACCUGGGUACACUCUCUCUGGCAGUGGAGGUGGUGGAGGUCUUUCCCAAUCAGGACGAGAAUGGAAGGGAGGUUCCUGAUCUCUCUCCCUAUACAGAGUUCCGUCAGCAUAACCAGGUCCACUUCGUUCUGCCCUAAUUCGAUCUUCGUUCUCGUACGAGAAUGGUCCGUCCCUUUCCUCCCUCCAGGGAUCAUCUCUGAGGUGAUCUGGUGGUGGCCUACGUGGUGGAUGUAGAGGAAAACCACAAUCUGGAUGUUCUCGUCUCCACUCCUCUCUCGAUUGGUAAAAUUCUUCGUCUUCCCUGUAAUCCCGGUGACGGAAAUCAGAUGGAGGUCUUCCAUACCCAUCAUCCUCAUGGCCAAACUCUGUGCCAUAUUCUUGCUCAUAUGCUCCCUGAGGAUCUUCAUGUGGAGGUCUUCUCCACCUAUCCCUUGCCAUUGGAUGUGGUCGCAUGGGCGGCCUUCUCAUAUUCCUCUCUAUCAUUUCAUGAGGGGGUAAAGGAAGGUGCCUUGGUUCUCGGCUAUGAGCAUGAGGCCAACCAGGCUCUCUGUCCAUUUCUUCAUGGUACCCAGGUGAUUCCCGCUCCAACAAUUCAUGAGGUGGUGGAGGGGGCCGUCUUAUGUCAUGGCGUGGUGGUGGCCCCCAGGGACCUGGACCGCCACGUCGGAAGCGAGGCCCCAUGUGAGGAGGAGGGCCAUGUGGGUCACGUUCCAUAUCCAGUGGUGGUGGAGGACGUCGUGGACCAUGGUGCAUAAAGCGUGGUUGGAAAGGAGGUCUUCUCUCUGCCCAGUAUGGAUCUCCCUCCUCCCAAUACUCCGAUUGUUCCUCUUCCCAGUGUUCCUGCGGUCCCUCUGGAGGAUCCAUUCGACCUCUAGGUGGUGCUCGCUCUUCAGUCUCUUCAUAAUAUUCUUUCUGGAAGUGAUGCUCUUCUGGCUGCCAAAUCUCAUGAGCUUCUUGGUCAUCAAUCAUUUCAUGUGGUUCUUGAGAAUGGUCCCCCCAACCAAAA
ensembl:lncRNA